AGGCUUUGAUCCUGGCUCAGGACGAACGCUGGCGGUAUGCCUAAUACAUGCAAGUCGAACGCUGAAGCACUCUGCUUGCAGAGUGCGGAUGAGUGGCGAACGGGUGAGUAACACGUGGGUAACCUGCCCAUAAGAGGGGGAUAACAUCCGGAAACGGGUGCUAAUACCGCAUAGGUGAACGGAGCGCAUGCUCUGUUCAUUAAAGAUGGCCUUGUGCUAUCGCUUAUGGAUGGACCCGCGGCGUAUUAGCUAGUUGGUGAGGUAAUGGCUCACCAAGGCGAUGAUACGUAGCCGACCUGAGAGGGUGAUCGGCCACACUGGGACUGAGACACGGCCCAGACUCCUACGGGAGGCAGCAGUAGGGAAUCUUCCACAAUGGGCGAAAGCCUGAUGGAGCAAUACCGCGUGAGUGAAGAAGGUCUUCGGAUCGUAAAGCUCUGUUGUUAGAGAAGAACACGCAAAACAGUAACUGGUUUUGCGCUGACGGUAUCUUACCAGAAAGUCACGGCUA
rnacentral:rRNA from 1 species